UAGUCUCGCACAGAUGCAUAUCAAUAAGCGGAGGAAAAGAAACUAACAAGGAUUCCCUCAGUAACGGCGAGUGAAGCGGGAAGAGCUCAAAUUUGAAAUCUUGAAAGGUCACCUUUCACGAAUUGUAGUUUAAAGAAGUGUUUUCUGUUACGAUCGUAAUAUAAGUUCUUUGGAAUAGGACAUCACAGAGGGUGAGAAUCCCGUCUAUGAUUGCGAUUUGUAGCUUUGUGAUACACUUUCAAAGAGUCGGGUUGUUUGGGAAUGCAGCCCAAAACGGGAGGUAAAUUUCUUCUAAGGCUAAAUAUUGGCGAGAGACCGAUAGCGAACAAGUACCGUGAGGGAAAGAUGAAAAGAACUUUGAAAAGAGAGUUAAAUAGUACGUGAAAUUGUCAAAAGGGAAGCGUUUGACACCAGUGUUGUUUUCUCGAAAAUCAAUUAAAAAGAGUUAGAUUUUGUUGUGUAUUGACCUUAACAGCUUGCAUUUCAAUUUUCUUGCUUUUUUUAAUGCACUUUUCGUUUAACAAGUCAACAUCAGUUUCUUUUGUUGUAAAAAGGUCAUUGGAAGGUGGCUUUCUUUUCGGAGAAAGUGUUUAUAGCCUUUGACUCCUGCAAUCGGAGAGACUGAGGUCUGCAGCGUAGAUCCUUCGGGGUUAGAUACAUUUGUGCUAAGUUAUAGCUUUUUAUAGACAACUUGUUGACUAUGAUUAGUCUUGUAGCUUACUCGCUUAUGCUAUUUUACCUACGCUUAGGAUGUUGAAGAUGUAGCACAUCAU
rnacentral:rRNA from 1 species